GGUGAAUGUAGUUCAGUUGGUAGAGCGCCAGUUUGUGGCACUGGUUGUCGUGGGUUCG
rnacentral:tRNA from 1 species